GUAAGUUUGUGCUAUGCAAGAGGCAUUGUUAAUGAAAACCUAUGGUGUUAUCUCCAUAGAGAUGAAUGCAUAUGAUUUUCAAAACAGGAGAAUUUAAUGUCACCAUUUUUAAUAUUAUUUGGAAAAAACCUAGUGUGGGAAAGUAGUGUAACACUAAUGAACUGUAUUAUAACGAGUAAGCUUGGGUAUGAGAAGUUAUUGAAAAUAAUACUGAGAAUACAUAAAUUUAUGGCACAAUAACUGCAUGUAUUGAUUCUUCUUUACAGAAUGUGACAGUGAUGAUAACAUGGGUGCCAAAAAUACUUCAAUAGGAGAAGAAUUUAUAUCCACAGAAGAUGUGGAAUUAGAAGAAGCUAUUAGAAGAAGUCUUGAGGAAAUGUAAUUAAAGAUAUUACCACACAACAUCAAGUGGCCUUGAAGAGACUCAGAUAAUGAAUUCUUGAGUUUGUUUUCUAAAGGAGACCAGAAAUCCACUAUUACAAAUGUAUUUGAAAACAUGUUUUUGCUUUCAUAUGUUCAAAAUCUGAUCUUUGUUUUGUAUUUUUGUGCUAAUGUGCAAACAUGUACAGAAGAAAUAGAAUACAUGUUCAUGCAAAUAUAAAUUAUGUAUUCUAAUAUAGGUGUAACAGUUUCCCAGUUAACUUUGAAUUUAUAUAUUUAGAUUUAAAGGGUUAAAAAAAAGGAAAGCUCUUGACAGUUGUUUCCCAAAUAGCAUUAGUUCUUUAAUUUUAUUUGUACUGUACAAA
rnacentral:sRNA from 1 species